rnacentral:lncRNA from 7 species
GAUGUCAAAUUUCUGUUCCAGCUAGAGGCAGGGUUCCCUAAUAGAGCAAUUUGGAGGCUGUGGAAAUUUCAGCCUCUCUUCUACUAUUCCACCUAAUAAAAAUUGUACUUUCUUUCCAGGUACAAUCCUCAUACAGCCUGAUGAACCACUAUGGCAUUUUCCUAUUUUUGUCCCAGAGAAGGGCAGAAUGGCUUUGUGUCUUUGAUGCCACUUCAUGUAGGCAUUGCUGUCUCCCCUGGACUGCUUUUUCCCCUGGGAUGCCUCUCCAUGGCACCACUCCUGCUUCUGGAGUCUGUUGCUUUUGCCCUGCUGAAGCCUAUUAGAGGUAGCUCAUUCAUUCAGAUCUGUCUGAGUCAUGAGCUUCACCAGCACAAGAUCAUUUUCCCUCUGAUUGCUUUUUGUCCAUUUUGUCCAAAGUUCCAAUCAGUCAGUGUGAAAACCCAACCAGCCACAGACCUUGUUAGAGCCUCCGAGUGCCAAGACAGAGAUCAUCCCCCAGGCAAUCCGGGGCAUUGUUGUGCUGUCUGUGUUGUGCCAUAUUGCUUUUACAAUGACUAUCAGGAAGUGGAAACAUACCAUGAAAGCAAAAGUAGGUGCUCUUUCUUACAGCUGUAAGUGUGACAAAGAGAACACAUAGCACACGUGCUGUCCAUGGGGAGGACAUUCACAAACACGAACCCAGCUCUUGGAUGGACUAUGAAAUGCAGACAUUUGUGCAGAUGGAGGGAUGGCACCAUGACUUCAGCAGCAGCAGCAGCUGGAUGAGGAGCAGCACCUCCCGUCCUCACUGACCUCCCUGCCACAUCUGGCAAGGCAGGCAGAUUUCCCAUGGCAGCACACAUGUAAAUGAACAGUGCUAAGUAUUGUUGCCCUUUUUCUUCUUCCUCUGGUCCCCUUUUCUAUACUUCCACCCUCUUAAAGUAAGGGAUUGCUUAUUACCCUGCUGCCUUUAAACAACUGCAAGAAUAUAAGGAAAAACGUCAUUCAGAAAGUGUGGCAAACAGCCAGAAGAUAAACCUGGAAUAAACAGUAACAAAUGACUUGCAAAUCUCUUCCCCAGAUGUCUGCUCCUUUCUGCUCUUCCACCACCACAACCUACCUGCUGGGCAUUAGGUGCUUCAUGCUCCCAGGAAGCAAUUCAGCCACUGACAGUGUGAUGCAAACUGUCUCUUGUAUGCAUGUAGAGUACAGCCAGAACACUGGAAAACAGUGCUGAUAGCCCAGUAAGUUAUUUCUAGAGCACUUCCUAAAAACUGUAGGAGAUUAAUAUAUAGACAUUAAACAAAUUGUUAUUUUCUGUUUUCAGUUGUAAAAGCUGUCUCAGACAAACUCUGUUCUCACAGCAUCCUCACACAGGGCGCCAUGCAAGCAGGCCCUCACCGCCUGCUCUGGAGAAGCCAGUAAGUCUUUGCCUCAACUGCAUCUGCUGCAGAAGUUUGAGCAGUCAGUUCUCUGGCACUAGAGGCAGAUACAGCUGAUCAGAGUUUAAGGAAAACCUUACUCAGAUCACCCCAAGGUCAGUGAGAGCAAGCCAGGGCUCCUCUGAAAGCCUCAGCUGUCUUUCUUUCCAGUGCUGGUUGGUUCAUGAUGACCAGAACUGGGAAAGGCCCUUCCCGCCUGCCUAUGAUCCAAAGUGCCCCAAACCCCUGCAUUCAUAUCUGCUAUUUUACUGGCAAGCAGCCUCAGAUAAUUUUACAUUCUUAACACAGCUCUAGAAACCCGAGAGGAAGCUCCUUUUAGCCAUUUAUGAAGAGAGAGGUGGAGGUUGGAUAUGUGUCACGCCUCACCAAGGCAGGGUGCUGUCCACACAUCUCCCAGCUUUUGUUUCUGUCCCAGCAAAACCUGCUACUGACGCACAGCUUCUCAACAUGAAUUCACCUCAGGUAUUUUUCUUUGGUCCAGUAAAUAGCUUGUGUAACCAUGCACACAUACAUGUGCACAGUACACUUAUUGGAGCGGUUGCUGCUGGUAUUUGUUCUGCUAAAUAUUAUUAGAAGUUUGUCAUAAGGAAGUAUCCCAUACACAUUACAAUCUUCAGCUCCAACUCAAUUAGAAUAAACAUCCUGACAUCUAGAAGAAGAAGAAAAGCAUGCCUGUGAAUAUAAUGUCAUCAUAGACCUUAGAGAAAGUUGAAAAAAUUUAAAAGAUGAGCAGCUGAUUUAAAGAGAAAAGGUGGGGAUUAGUUCUUUUUUUACAUGAUUGCUUUUAGACAAUAGGUUCUAAUGUCAUGUCUGCUUUGUUUCUGCACUAGGCUGUUGAUCUUGGCACUAAGUGACUAGCUCCCAAUGGGGCUUCAGCAUUGCUUAUAAUCCUUAUGUUUAAAAUAGUUUCGCAACU